GCCAGCGUAGCUUAGAGAAAAGCAUAACCCUGAAGAAGUUAAGAUGGGCCCUCAAAAGCCCCGCGAGCA
rnacentral:tRNA from 1 species